ACUGCUCAGUAACACGUAGCUAGCCUACCCUUUGGUCAAGGAUAACCUCGGGAAACUGAGGCUAAUACUUGAUAGAAAAUAAUUUCUGGAAUGAUUUAUUUUUCAAAUUCGGGCCAAAGAAUGGGGCUGCGGCUGAUUAGGUAGUUGUUGGUGUAAAAGACUAACAAGCCGAUGAUCAGUAAGGGCUCUUAGCGGAGAAGCCCUGAGAAGGAAUCUGAGACACUAUUCCUAGCUCUACGGGGUGCAGCAGUCGAGGAAAUUUUACAAUGCUCGCAAGAGUGAUAAAAUAAACCAGAGUGUUUCUUUUAAAGAAACUUUUAUCUGCUGCAAAAAAGCAGAUGAAUAAGGACUGGGCAAGACCGGUGCCAGCCGCCGCGGUAAUACCGGCGGUCCAAGUCGUAUCCACAUUUAUUUGGUCUAAAACAUUCGUAGCUUGUUUGAUAAGUCUCUUGUGAAAUCUGAUAUCUUAAAUAUCAGGCGUGCAAGAGAUACUAUCUUACUAGAGACCGGAAGACGCAAAGAGUAUUGUUGAGGUAGCGGUAAAAUGUGUUAAUCUCAAUUAGACUAACAAUGGCGAAGGCACUUUGCGAGUACGGAUCUGACAGUGAGGGAUGAAGGCUAGGGGCGCAAAAGGGAUUAGAUACCCCUGUAGUCCUAGCAGUAAACACUGCUCACUAAACAUUAGUACCUCCUCGAGAGGUAUUGGUGCUGUAGAGAAGUCGAAGAGUGAGCUACCUGGGAAGUAUAGUCGCAAGACCGAAACUUAAAGGAAUUGGCGGGGGAGCAC
rnacentral:rRNA from 1 species